rnacentral:rRNA from 1 species
UGCCAGCCGCCGCGGUAAUACAGAGGUCUCAAGCGUUGUUCGGAUUUACUGGGCGUAAAGCGUGCGUAGGCGGCGAGGUAAGUCAGAUGUGAAAGCUCAGGGCUCAACCCUGAAAUUGCAUCCGAUACUGCCUUGCUAGAGUAAUGGAGGGGAGUCUGGAAUUCAUGGUGUAGCAGUGAAAUGCGUAGAUAUCAUGAGGAACACUAGUGGCGAAGGCGAGACUCUGGACAUUUACUGACGCUCAGGCACGAAAGCGUGGGGAGCAAACCGGAUUAGAUA